UUAUUUUAUAUUUAUCUUUGUACUCUAUUUAACUUUUGAUUAACGUAAAUAUUUCUCUUUUAAGCACCACCCGAACCGAACUCAUCGAACAUACUAAGGCACAUUAAGGGUUACCUAAUAUUAAUGGAUAUUGCACUGUUGUUGUGGCACUUUUCAAUUUAGGGUCUUUGUUCCAACGAAAAGAUGAAGAGGGUCAAAAUCAUUAAAGGAUUGCUCCAAAUCUUAAAAGGGGUUGAACAGAAUUACUUUGCGAUGGCUUUCGCAAUAAUUAAAACUUUGUUAAGCGUGCUUGAAGGUAAUGGUAAUACCAAAAACAUUUUUAGAGCACUUGAUAUAUAUAUUAACCUAUACAUUAAAACUGAGUGGAUGCUGCGAUAGACCCCUCAUGGAGUUUCAAACCAAAACUACCAAAAUUCUUUUUAAAAGCUCUUUUCACAUUAGAAUGUAAAAAAAAACCUUUCAGGAUACCAAGAAAAUGGUGAAAUUUUGUGUAACAAAAAGCUACUGAAGAGGAUUUUGUUUUUGUGAGGUCUAAGGGGUCAUCAUACUCAGGUCUAUUGAUUUGCAUGAUCAUGAUUGGACACUGAAUUCAAGAUGAAAAAUAAACCAAAGUACAAAUCAGAAACCAAAAUGAAAAAUGAAACCAUAAGCGAUGCAACGUGGAAAUAAAAAAGCAAAAACAAAAACAAAACCAAAAAAACAACUUAUAAUAAUAAUGACUAUAAUACCAAUGAUAAUAAUAGCAAUAAUAAUACUCUUAUUCUUAAUUUACUAAUCUAAUUUUUUAUCUUCGUUUUGCUUCGUUUGUUUGUUUUUGUUUGUAAAUUAUGCGUAUUUGCGUGUGUCUUCAAGUAGUCAGUUGAAAAUAACAUAUUUGUAGUAAGAUUUACAUAUGUAAAUGAAAAAAUAUGAAAUAAAAUUUCCAUUCUAAUUA